CGAGAUGUAGGCUAUUACUAACCUAGUUUUCUUUGGAGGAACGUGGACCCAAUGCGCAUCAGGCUCCUGUCAAUGUCUCGGGAUUUGCCAUGUAAUGAAUAUCCAUUCCCAAAAUGGCCCGGAGACAAAAUAAAACAACAUUUGAUGUCCACGCUGAAGUAUUGUCACAUUAAUUCCACCAUGGCCUUCCAGUGACACUGUGUACUUUCAGACCGUUUUUGACAAAGCUCAGGCUUGCGUUUUGGUGUAGCAGUCUUGGCUCCAACAUAAUCUCCCAAGACUCAACAGUCUGCAGCCCAAGUUUAUCCAGAGGGGGCUGAGGCUUCUAGCCCCAUCGUCAACCCCUGUCUCCACUCCCUCCUUUCCCAACAGGAGAACUGUCAGUGACCCCUUGCUGACUCCACUGUCCCUAAUCCUUUAAAUGUGGGCAAAGCCUGAAAUGAUGAGGAGUUGGGCUUCACCACAGGUGAUGUCCUCUACCUCUUCAUGUUCCCCCAUGGUCAACGGGAUCAGGGUAAAGUCAAAUAGAUCCCAUAGAAGUCUAAUGGGAGAGAGAGGGGGCAAGAGGCAAACCCCACACAAAGUAGUCAGCUGCAGGAUAACAGAGGAAUUCUGACAAAUCAGGGGUCCAAGUGAAAUAGAUGCUGCGGGAAUAUUCCUUCUGUUUCUUAUUCUCUUCCUUGAAGUCCGUUUAAAAAGAGAUUGAGAAUAGGGAACUUGAUUGUACACAAAAGGGAAAUUAAAUUAAAGUGUCUGGUUUUCAUUCUGACUGUGAAUGCUGCUUGAAAGUAGAUGGUUGGACUGGGUACAUUUGUUGCUCAGUGCCUUAUUAAGGGAUUAAGAAACCAUUUAGAGCAAUUAUCUGCCCCAAACUGACCAAACUAACUUGUUUUGAGUAGGGCAUUGUUGUCUGUUGGUGCAGUUCUACAAAAAGCGAGAUGUUUGUAUGGAUUAAGACAUGUGAUGUGUAAGAACUGUUGUAAUGGUAAUAGCACAUGUUAUACAUACUGUACAUCAAGUAGAAAAUUGGUGAUUUUAACAGUUGAUUUUUGUUUUUUUGUGAUCCCAGCAACCUGGUUUCAUGGCAACGUUUGAUCUGGGAUCAUGGUAUAAUGUCUACAAAACAAAAUACCCACCCAUUUGCUGCACACACUAACCUUUUUAAAGGAUUAUAUUUAUAUAGAUGUUCAUGCUGAUUACAACCCAUAGAGUCUGAUGCUACCUCUCUCUAACACUAUUUGUCUAGCACUGGCAUAGUGCAUCCCAUGUAUACACAUAUGCAUGUGUACCCCACACACACACGACUCCCCAGUUCUAAGGUCACUUCGGCCUCACUGCACAACCACUACAGAACCCCCCUCCCCAUCCAGGGAGACAUAUUUAAUUUAAUUAAGGCCUGUCAGCGCUAUUGAUUUUGGCACUUUCAAUUACCGCCGCCUGUUUAAGAGGCUGGAAGGGCUCUGGAUCUACUGAUCUGUGACGAGGGAGUCCUAUCAGUGCGGGACCACAUGGACGGGAAGGCUCUUUGUCUCUCUUAUGGGCUACCACUGUCUGCCACCCCUGCUGAUAUAUGGCUGCCGCGCCAGCCCGGUUCCCCUCCUGCUCCUCAUAAUUAAUUCCUCAUUAGACAGUUUUUUAUUGUUUAAUUUGUGCAGGUCAUAAUCAAAUUGGGCAGAUUAAUUGCUACAAAAUCGAGAGGGGAAGGUUUGAAAAAUAACCCUUCUUAUUUGGCUUUGCGUUUUUGAACACCCCCUUUGGCUUUUCAUAUAGCCACGGGCUUAGUAAAUUAUAACUCCACAAGUAUAUUGCUCUUGCACUUUUUGAGUGAUCCACAGUGGAAAGAUGAUCUGGCUGAAAACUGUUGCCUCGAAGCAGAAACACAUUCAAAUGUUUCUCAGUGAUAUAUUUUCCCUUGCAGUCCUAAUUGUAAAAGUCAACCUCACUAAUUUUUGAGUUUAUUUAUGGCAGUGGCCUUUUGCUUAUGGUUUGUUUGUGUGUUUGUGCUCAGUGAUCAGUGAUGGGAAUCAUAACAUGUGGCCAGCUAG